rnacentral:rRNA from 1 species
AUUGAACGCUGGCGGCAGGCCUAACACAUGCAAGUCGAGCGAGAAAGCACUUCGGUGUGAGUAGAGCGGCGGACGGGUGAGUAACGCGUAGGAAUCUACCCAGUAGCGGGGGACAACCUGGUGAAAACCAGGCUAAUACCGCAUACGCCCUACGGGGGAAAGGGGGCUUCGGCUCCCACUAUUGGAUGAGCCUGCGUAAGAUUAGCUAGUUGGUGGGGUAAAGGCCUACCAAGGCGACGAUCUUUAGCUGGUCUGAGAGGAUGAUCAGUCACACUGGAACUGAGACACGGUCCAG